AUUGAACGCUGGCGGCAUGCCUUACACAUGCAAGUCGAACGGCAGCACGGGUGCUUGCACCUGGUGGCGAGUGGCGAACGGGUGAGUAAUACAUCGGAACAUGUCCUGUAGUGGGGGAUAGCCCGGCGAAAGCCGGAUUAAUACCGCAUACGAUCUACGGAUGAAAGCGGGGGACCUUCGGGCCUCGCGCUAUAGGGUUGGCCGAUGGCUGAUUAGCUAGUGGGUGGGGUAAAGGCCUACCAAGGCGACGAUCAGUAGCUGGUCUGAGAGGACGACCAGCCACACUGGGACUGAGACACGGCCAAGACUCCUACGGGAGGCAGCAGUGGGGAAUUUUGGACAAUGGGCGAAAGCCUGAUCCAGCAAUGCCGCGUGUGUGAAGAAGGCCUUCGGGUUGUAAAGCACUUUUGUCCGGAAAGAAAUCCUUGGCCCUAAUACGGUCGGGGGAUGACGGUACCGGAAGAAUAAGCACCGGCUAACUACGUG
rnacentral:rRNA from 1 species